AUGUGGAGCCGUAGCGAAAGCGAGUCUGAAUAGGGCGUUGAGUAUUUGGUCGUAGACCCGAAACCAGGUGAUCUACCCAUGGUCAGGUUGAAGUUCAGGUAACACUGAAUGGAGGACCGAACCGACUUACGUUGAAAAGUGAGCGGAUGAACUGUGGGUAGCGGAGAAAUUCCAAUCGAACUUGGAGAUAGCUGGUUCUCUCCGAAAUAGCUUUAGGGCUAGCCUCAAGUGAUGAUUAUUGGAGGUAGAGCACUGUUUGGACGAGGGGCCCCUCUCGGGUUACCGAAUUCAGACAAACUCCGAAUGCCAAUUAAUUUAACUUGGGAGUCAGAACAUGGGUGAUAAGGUCCGUGUUCGAAAGGGAAACAGCCCAGACCACCAGCUAAGGUCCCAAAAUAUAUGUUAAGUGGAAAAGGAUGUGGCGUUGCCCAGACAACUAGGAUGUUGGCUUAGAAGCAGCCAUCAUUUAAAGAGUGCGUAAUAGCUCACUAGUCGAGUGACACUGCGCCGAAAAUGUACCGGGGCUAAACAUAUUACCGAAGCUGUGGAUUGUCCAUAGGACAAUGAUAGGAGAGCGUUCUAAGGGCGUUGAAGCAUGAUCGCAAGGACAUGUGGAGCGCUUAGAAGUGAGAAUGCCGGUGUGAGUAGCGAAAGACGGG
rnacentral:rRNA from 1 species